GGGUACAAAAACAAAAAAAAAAAAAGAAAAAAAAACCCAAACAGAGAAUGUUGUGGAAAAUACAAGACAGAAAACGAUAACUAAGAACAUGACUACUUAAUCCUGUUGUAGGAUUCAAGGAUUGGGUCACAACACCACUCCCGCCAAUUAAAAGUCCCCUUUCGAUUCCGUGCAUUUAUCCAUAAAUGAGCCAGCGAUUUUAUUUCGAUAGCCAAUGCCGAAUUAGAUUUUGAACCUGUACUUGGAGCAUGAAGUGUUUGGUUUCGAUAGUUCCAUAUCACCCAAAGGUACACCAACAUUAUACAUUAUGAAACAAAAAGAAGUUAAAAUACAUAGAGAAGGACGCACCUUCAAAUUAAAAUAUAGUCAUCCGUGUAGAGGCGUAGGAUUAGAGAGAUGACGGGCCAAUAGGAGCCUCCUAUACUAGUCUUUUUUUUUUUUUUUUUUUUUCCAGAUUUGGGCAUUCACUAAUCCCCAAACUCAAAAGUGAAGGCAACAACUUUGCUGGUAGAUCCAUCAUCUUUGGGCACUUGUCAAAGCUGAGAUGCUGGAGAGAGGUGAGGUGUUG
rnacentral:lncRNA from 1 species